GAUGAACGCUGGCGGCGUGCCUAAUACAUGCAAGUCGAGCGAGCGGCGGACGGGUGAGUAAUGUCUGGGAAACUGCCUGAUGGAAGGGGAUAACUACUGGAAACGGUAGCUAAUACCGCAUACCAUCAAAUGUGCCCAGAUGGGAUUAUGUAGUAGGUGUGGUAACGGCUCACCUAGGCGACGAUCCCUAGCUGGUCUGAGAGGAUGACCAGCCCCACGUGAACUGAGACACGGUCCAGACGCCUACGGGAGGCAGCAGUGGGGUAUAUUGCACAAUGGGCGCAAGCCUGAUGCAGCCAUGCCGCGUGUAUGAAGAAGGCCUUCGGGUUGUAAAGUACUUUCAGCGGGGAGGCGUUACCCGCAGAAGAAGCACCGGCUAACUCCGUGCCAGCAUCCGCGGUAAUAC
rnacentral:rRNA from 1 species